rnacentral:lncRNA from 1 species
UCACGGACCACUGGCGGGACCCACUUCACAACUACGUCUAAAUUUUAGUCAUUGGAAUCACAACGUACCUACUAAUGUGGUAUAACUUGUUUGGUAGGUUAUAUGCUAGUGUACAACUUUGUGAACCAACUAUAUAGAGGAAGCAAAAUUUUCAAAAAUCUUGUGAAAUAGGAUGUGAUCGGUAUAGUAAAAUAUGGCUACGGUAGAAAAAUCACUUUAAUUUGCCAAUGUUUGGGCCCCGAUCGAAACGGUCAACCCUAUUUACGUUUAUGCUUCACUAAGGAGAGCCCUAUCCUCGAGUGGUAAAUGUCCCCAAAGUUUUACAUGGGUGGUUAAAUCUCAUCUAUGUGAGACUUUAUUGUGUUGAAGAAUACACCAAACUAAGUCACAAAGAGGUAGGUAAGAUAGUUUUCGUGUGAUAAAUGAAUAUGAAUUAGGGUUGACCGCUUUGAUCGAGCCCCGAACAUUGUUGAAUCCAGUUGAAUUUUAUACCAUAGUCAUGUUUCACUAUAAUGAUCACAUCAUACGGUCAAUUUUCAUUUUGUAAAUUUUAGUCAUCGAAAUCAUAACAUGUGUACUAAAGUAAUAUAACUUGUUUGAUAGGUUAUAUGCUAGUGUACAACUUUGUGAACCAACUAUAUAGAGGAAGCAAAAUUUUCAAAAAUCUCGUGAAAUAUGAUGUGAUCGAUAUAGUAAAAUACAGCUACGGUGGAAAAAUCACUUUAAUUCGCCAAUGUUUGGGCCCCGAUCGAAGCGGUCAACCUUAUUUACGCUUAUGCUUCACUAAGGAGAGUCCUAUCCUCGGGUGGUAAACGGCCCCAAAGUUUUACAUGGGUGGUUAUGUCUCAUCUAUGUGACACUUUAUUGUGUUGAAGAAUCCACCAAAAUAGGUCACGAAGAGGUAGGUAAGAUAGUUUUUGUAUGAGAAGUGAAAAUGAAUUAGAGUUGACCGCUUUGAUUGAGCCCCAAACAUUGUUGAAUCCAGUUGAAUUUUAUACCAUAGCAUUGUUUCACUGUAAUGAUCACAUCAUACGGUCAAUUUUUAUUUUGUGAAUUUUAGUCAUCGGAAUUAUAACGUGCUUACUAAUGUGGUAUAACUUGUUUGGUAGGUUAUAUGCUAGUGUACAACUUUGUGAGCCAAAUAUAUAGAGGAAGCAAAAUUUUCAAAAUCUCAUGAAAUAGGAUGUGAUCGAUAUAGUAAAAUACGGCUACGGUAGGAAAAUCACUUUAAUUCGUCAAUGUUUGGGCCCCGAUCGAAGCGGUCAACCAUAUUUACGCUUAUGCUUCAAUAAGGAGAGCCCUAUCCUCAGGUGGUAAACGUCCCCAAAGUUUUACAUGGGUGGUUAUGUCUCAUCUAUGUGACACUUUAUUGUGUUGAAGAAUCCACCAAACUAGGUCACGAAGAGGUAGGUAAGAUAGUUUUCGUGUGAUAAGUGAAGAUGAAUUAGGGUUGACCGCUUUGAUCAAGCACCGAACAUUGUUGAAUCCAGUUGAAUUUUAUACCAUAACCAUGUUUCACUAUAAUGAUCACAUCAGACGGUCAAUUUUCAUUUUGUGAAUAUUCAUUGAUUCAAUCUCAAGAACAAUUUUGAUUUCCAGAAUGUCUACUUUUUUGUGAUUUUGCCCAUCUAAAUGGUAGACAUUUCUCAUGAAAAUAGCAGUUGUGUCUUAUGUUAAAUGUAGACUUUUCAUCUUUUACCUUGGUUUGCUUCAAUCUCAAAAAUAAUUUAGAUUUCCAGAAAGUCUACUUUUCUUUAAUUUCUCUUAUGUUAAUGGUAGCCAUUUUUUAUGAAAAAAGUUGUUGUGUCUUAUGUUAAAUGUAGACUUUGCAUCUUUUACCUUGAUUUGCUUCAAUCUCAAGAACAAUUUAGAUUUCUAGAAAGUCUACUUUUCUUUCAUUUCUCUUAUGUUAAUGGUUGACAUUUUGCAUGAAAAUUGUAGUUGUGUCUCAUGUUAAAUGUAGACUUUGCAUCUUUUACCUUGGGUUGCUUCAAUCUCAAGAACAAUUUAGAUUUCCAGAAAGUCUACUUUUCUUUGAUUUCUCUUAUGUUAAUGGUAUACGUUUCUAAUGAAAAUAGUAGACGAGUCUUAUGUUAAAUGUAGACUUUGCAUUUUUUACCUUGGUUAAUUUGCUUCAAUCUCAAGAACAAUUUAAUUUUCCAGAAAGUCUACUUUUCUUUGAUUUCUCUUAUGUUAAUGGUAGACGUUUCUAAUGAAAAUAGUAGACUUGUCUUAUGUUAAAUGUAGACUUUGCAACUUUCACCUUCCAUUAUUGAUUCAAUCUCAAGAACAAUUU